AGCCACACAGUAAGCACAAAACAAGUUAUUCUUUCACCUUUUACUAAAAAAAUGCCAUGUACUCGUUGUGAAUAGUGGCAUAGGCCUAUUUUUGGAGAGGUUCUUCUCAAAUGGGGUU